rnacentral:rRNA from 1 species
GGCGGCGUGCCUAACACAUGCAAGUCGAACGGAGCCGAGGAGCUUGCUUUCAGCUUAGUGGCGGACGGGUGAGUAACGCGUGAGUAACCUGCCUCCGAGAGUGGAAUAACGUUUUGAAAAGAACGCUAAUACCGCAUAAUAUUAUGAAGUCGCAUGGCUUUAUAAUCAAAGAUUAUAUCGCUCGGAGAUGGACUCGCGUCCGAUUAGUUAGUUGGUGAGGUAACGGCUCACCAAGACCGCGAUCGGUAGCCGGACUGAGAGGUUGAUCGGCCACAUUGGGACUGAGACACGGCCCAGACUCCUACGGGAGGCAGCAGUGGGGGAUAUUGCGCAAUGGGGGCAACCCUGACGCAGCAACGCCGCGUGAAGGAUGAAGGUUUUCGGAUUGUAAACUUCCUUUAUCAGGGACGAAAAAUGACGGUACCUGAAGAAUAAGCUCCGGCUAACUACGUGCCAGCAGCUGC